UAAAUUUAUAGUCUAUUUUAUUUGACAUCUAAUUUGCACUUAGAAAGUGCUCUUAAAGCUAAAUUUAU
rnacentral:tRNA from 1 species